UAGCUACUCCCUCCGUCCGAAAAUACUUGUCAUCAAAAUGGACAAAAAGAGAUGUAUCUAGAACUAAAAUACAUCUAGAUACAUCUCCUUUUAUUCAUUUUGAUGACAAGUAUUUACGGACGGAGGGAGUACAUC
rnacentral:pre_miRNA from 1 species